UACGUAGGUGGCAAGCGUUGUCCGGAAUUACUGGGCGUAAAGCGCGCGCAGGCGGGAAUUUAAGUCAGGAGUGAAAACUGAGGGCUCAACCCUCAGCCUGCUUCUGAAACUGGAUUUCUUGAGGGUAUGAGAGGAAAGCGGAAUUCCUAGUGUAGCGGUGAAAUGCGUAGAUAUUAGGAGGAACACCAGUGGCGAAGGCGGCUUUCUGGCAUACAACUGACGCUGAGGCGCGAAAGCGUGGGGAGCAAACGGG
rnacentral:rRNA from 2 species